rnacentral:rRNA from 1 species
UACGUAGGUGACAAGCGUUGUCCGGAUUUACUGGGCGUAAAGAGCGCGCAGGCGGUCGAUCAAGUCGAGUGUGAAAGCCCCCGGCUCAACUGGGGAGGGUCAUUCGAUACUGAUCGACUCGAAGGCAGGAGAGGGUAGUGGAAUUCCCGGUGUAGCGGUGAAAUGCGCAGAUAUCGGGAGGAACACCGGUGGCGAGGACGGUCACUGGCCUUGCCUGU